AUACGUAGGGGGCAAGCGUUAUCCGGAUUUACUGGGUGUAAAGGGAGCGUAGACGGAAGGCCAAGUCUGAUGUGAAAGCCCGCGGCUCAACUGCGGGACUGCAUUGGAAACUGGUCAUCUGGAGUGCAGGAGGGGUAAGCGGAAUUCCUAGUGUAGCGGUGAAAUGCGUAGAUAUUAGGAGGAACACCGGUGGCGAAGGCGGCUUACUGGACUGUAACUGACGUUGAGGCUCGAAAGCGUGGGGAGCAAACAGGAUUAGAUACCCUGGUAGUCCACGCGGUAAACGAUGAUCACUAGGUGUCGGCGGCCAUAGGCGGUCGGUGCCGCAGCAAACGCAAUAAGUGAUCCACCUGGGGAGUACGUUCGCAAGAAUGAAACUCAAAUGAAUUGACGGGG
rnacentral:rRNA from 1 species